ACAGGCUGUCUGCUGAGUGGCAUGUGUGCCUCUCAAACACCUCCCGCCUUCCUGCCUGGCUUCUCUGCCAUCUGGGCUGCGAGGCACGCCUGCCAGAUGGGGCAAAACCCACAGCCCCUGUGGGCUCCCAGCUCAGUUCUCUGGCAUCUCCGAGACUGGCUUCUCGGAUUCCUUGCUGCAAAGGGCACGUAUGUGUGAAAAUCCCCUCAAUCCUCUCACUCCUUUCAGCCA
rnacentral:lncRNA from 1 species